GCCCCAAUGGCGCAGUGGUGCAGCGCCUGGGCCCCAAUGGCGCAGUAGUGCAGCGCCUGGUGGCUUUUCGAGUUUGGCUAGCUUGAGAGGUCGUCGGUUCGAAUCCGGCUUGGGUCG
rnacentral:tRNA from 1 species